UUUUGCAUGGACACAUGAUGGCUCGGACAAAGCGACCAAAUGUUGAAUUGCGAGAUGAAAUUUAUCGAAGAAGAACAUAAUCAUGAAGACAUAGAACAGAAUCAGGAAGAUGUAGAACAAAAUCAGGAUCGGUACGAGGUGCUAUGUUUGGGAAGCAGUGACAAAAUUUCUAGAAGGGUUAAAGUAUCCGAGGGGAAACAGAAGAAUGUGAAGAAGGAGAAGAAGGAAAAGAAGAAGAAGAAACCAAAGACUGGGUAAUACCUAUAUGUGCU
rnacentral:lncRNA from 1 species